GGCCUUGACAUACUAAGAACUUUCCAGAGAUGGAUUGGUGCCUUCGGGAACUUAGAUACAGGUGCUGCAUGGCUGUCGUCAGCUCGUGUCGUGAGAUGUUGGGUUAAGUCCGCAACGAGCGCAACCUUUUCCUAUUUGCCAGCGGGUAAUGCCGGGAACUUUAAGGAUACUGCCAGUGACAAACUGGAGGAAGGCGGGGACGACGUCAAGUCAUCAUGGCCCUUACGGCCAGGGCUACACACGUGCUACAAUGGUCGGUACAAAGGGUUGCUACCUCGCGAGAGGAUGCUAAUCUCAAAAAGCCGAUCGUAGUCCGGAUCGCAGUCUGCAACUCGACUGCGUGAAGUCGGAAUCGCUAGUAAUCGCGGAUCAGAAUGCCGCGGUGAAUACGUUCCCGGGCCUUGUACACACCGCCCGUCACACCAUGGGAGUUUGUUGCACCAGAAGUAGGUAGUCUAACCGCAAGGAGGACGCUUACCACGGUGUGGCCGAUGACUGGGGUGAAGUCGUAACAAGGUAAGCGUAGAUGA
rnacentral:rRNA from 1 species